UGCCUCUCUUGUUUGUGAUCAGGAGAGAGGCAGGAAAACAGACAGAAUUCGUAGAAUGCUAUCGAUUUGCAUAUUGUUUUGCAUAAAAUCCCAUAACAAACUUGAAAACCCGGAUCCCAGCUUCUCUGAAAAUGUAAAUGGAGUUAACAGCACAGUUUACUACCACUUUCUAGGCUGGUCACCUCCCGGGCUUUUGAAUAAAAUAAUAAACUCAGGAACAAAUAAAUAUUUUAUCAAUGACUUCUUUUUAUUUUUACCAAGUACCUUAUUUCCUUUUCCUCUGCCAUUUAACACAGGUCGGGAGGUUCAAGCCACAGAGAGACUGGGAGGAUCCAAUUGUAACUAAAAUUAACAAGCAUCUCCCUGACCCCUACUAUGUUCAAGGCCCUAUGUGCUCAAUGGAGGGGGUUAUGAACAAUGAAGAAAUACUGGGUCAUAACUCAUCGAGCCCUGAAAAUACUGUAUUUUGCUGGACGUUUUCAUCUACUUAUCUUUCAAGCUUCUUACUAAAAUACGUCCUGGAAGUCUGCCUUCAAAAUUGACCACAUGCUCAUGUAAAGCCAAUAUAUAUCCCCCAAAAGAUGAUAUUCUGUCUUUCACCUCACUUUUCCCACAGAAACUGCACAUGUAAGGAAGAGAUGGACACCAACGAGAAGACUUUUUAGUUAUCCAAAGAAAGCUGAUUGCUUUAUGGAUUUUUUAAAAUUCCCUUUUCUACCUAACAGCAGAGAACAGAAUCAGGAAAAAAAAGAUUCAUAAAUUGGGUGCAAAGCCAUUUCUAUAUUUUUAAUUUUACAUUAGUUUUCACUUGGGUUCUUCACUUAAAAGAAUGCACCGUUUCUGCAUUAAGUUGUGAUGUAAGCUACAUUACAGUAGGUCUUAUAUUGAGUUGAACCAAAAAAUAACUCUUUCUUUUUCAGUUUAAAUAAAAUGAAUAAAAAAAAGUACAAUUAACAUUUAUUUUUUAAAAAAGAAGAGGAAGAAUGUAUAGCGUUUUGUUUGUUUGUGUAUUUAUUUCGUACACAAUCCUCAACAGCUUUUACACUUUCUUCUCUUCCCCAUAGCCCCCCACCUCUCUGCAUCUGAGGGGAGAAAUAUGAAAGGAGAAAUGGCAUGAAGUCUGGGUCAAGAACAAAGAGUAGAAUAGGGAAGCGAUGCUGCUGCUACUGAUGGAAAGACAGAGCUACAUGGUCAGGACACUGGCUGCUAUGCCUGCGUACUCUCAGUUCCUACACGGAAUUCACCGACAACGCCUUUCAGUUCGACUGCCAAGUUGUCACUCCAACCUCUCCUCCUCUCCCUGUCUCCAUGGCCACCACCGGUCCAGAUCACCAUCAUCUCCCACGUGGAUCACCAUAACAGCCUUCUCUCUCUCAGGUCUCCCCGCUUUUACACUUGCCCCACAUCAACCCAUUCUCUACACAGAAACUAGAGCAAUCUUCUUUAGACUAAAAUAAGAUGGUGUCACUCUGCUUUGUGAAACCCCUGCACUUAAAAUAAAAUCCAAACUCAUUAUUGUGGCCCAGGAA